rnacentral:rRNA from 1 species
UGCCAGCAGCCGCGGUAAUACGUAGGUGGCGAGCGUUAUCCGGAAUUAUUGGGCGUAAAGGGCGCGUAGGCGGCCUCAAAAGUCUGACGUGAAAGCUCCUGGCUUAACUGGGAGAGGUCGUUGGAAACUGCGAGGCUUGAGGCAAUGAGAGGGGUGCGGAAUUCCCGGUGUAGUGGUGGAAUGCGUAGAUAUCGGGAGGAACACCAGUGGCGAAAGCGGCAUCCUAGCAUUGACCUGACGCUGAGGAGCGAAAGCUAGGGGAGCGAACGGGAUUAGAUA